UGUUUUCUCCUCCUGUAAUAAAGCAGAGACACCAUUGGGUCCAGAGCUGCUUUUUAGAGUUGCUGCAGGUGUUGCAGGCCUCCACACCACUGAAGUAAGACAGAGAGCUAUGAGGCAACUAGGAGCCAUGAAUUCCACAACUCAAGACCUGCUGCGCACCUUAUGGGAGUGGACUCUGAUUUAAAUGCUAUACAUUGCUUUUUGGAUAUGUGCCAUGCUCUCCUCAUUUUCUUCAAAUAGAUUCUUUUCUUAUCUAAUACUUCUCAACCUUCCCCUCUUUCUA
rfam:Rattus norvegicus chromosome 4, whole genome shotgun sequence.